rnacentral:rRNA from 1 species
AUUGAACGCUGGCGGCAUGCCUUACACAUGCAAGUCGAACGGUAACAGGCCGCAAGGUGCUGACGAGUGGCGAACGGGUGAGUAACACAUCGGAACGUGCCUGAUAGUGGGGGAUAACUACUCGAAAGAGUAGCUAAUACCGCAUAAGAUCUCAGGAUGAAAGCAGGGGACCGCAAGGCCUUGCGCUAACAGAGCGGCCGAUGGCAGAUUAGGUAGUUGGUGGGAUAAAAGCUUACCAAGCCGACGAUCUGUAGCUGGUCUGAGAGGACGACCAGCCACACUGGGACUGAGACACGGCCCAGACUCCUACGGGAGGCAGCAGUGGGGAAUUUUGGACAAUGGGCGCAAGCCUGAUCCAGCAAUGCCGCGUGCAGGAUGAAGGCCUUCGGGUUGUAAACUGCUUUGUACGGAACGAAAAGACUCUGGUUAAUACCUAGGGU